GCGUCGGUUGUUCAACGGUUAGAAUAGCUGUUUCCCGAACAGUUGACCCGUUUUCGACUCCCGGCCGAAGCA